GGUGUGAAGAGUUAUCGUUAUUUGUUAAAAUAUUUCCUCUUUUUUAUAUUGAAUUAUCUUUCUUUACGACUUAGACUUCAAACCCGUUUAGAGUUACCAUUCUUAAUUCGAGCACGUACUUCCUGUUUACCUGUGAGUGUGUUUCACGCAUCGGUCGAUUGUUCCAAUCAUUCAUUUCUACUUAGAGAUAGCACACACUAUCGACACUUGACUACGGUUGCCAGGCUUACAACCAAGGUUGCAAGACCUAUCUUCGAAGUCUGGACAGGAUCCAAUCGUCGGCACUUAAAACUCAGCACAGACAAAAAGCACAGUCCUAUUGGAAUCGGGAGAACUACCACUUAAGCUACGCAGACUCCAACUUUCUCUAAGACAAAUUGAAGCACAGAGCUGGUGGGUUUCUGCACUGGAUCCAGUAGAGGACUCCACUCCAGGACCUCCUUUGCCGCGUCCUCAACACAGUCUCCAAGAAGAUCGUCUCCACGAUUUUACUGAAGGAGAUCCGAGGGUCGAUCGGCCACAGAUGAAGAAUGGCAAGUCAUCUUCAAGAAGCCCUUACCCGACUAUACUGUGGGGAUCCGUGGGCGAUCGACUCGAGGAAGAGAUGGACCAUGCAUCCACCACCUUCUUGAGGACCUAACCAUCCCCGGAUCUUCAAGAAGACCCGUCCCCGUGGGAUCCGAGGGUCGACCACCAUCGUCGCCCCAAACCUAGUGUAGCAGGGCCCCUACUGGGCAGUCUGCACUAUAAAUCUACACCAUCAUCAUUUCAUGCAGCUCACAACUUACAACAGUCUUCAGCGUUCCCUGUAUCAUCAGCAUUUAUCUUAAUUGGUGCAUUUUCGUAUUGCUGGGUUUGAUAAUUUGUGCCCUCAAGGGGAGUUUACAUGUAUUCAACUGCCAGGUGAGGGUGCACAGUGAGUAGUUUUUAACUUGUAUUAUUAGAAUUUUUUUUUGCUCACCUGAGCUGAAUUCUCAAGUGAGCUUUUCUGAUCACCUGUUAUCUGUCCGUCCAUAAACUUUUCACAUUUUUGACUUCUUCUCCAGAACCACUGGGCCAAUUAUAACCAAACUUGGCCAAAAGCAUCCUUGGGUGAAGUGCUUUCAAGUUUGUUCAAAUGAAGGGCCAUGCCCCUUCAAAGGGGUGAAAAUAACAAUAAUAGGGUGAGAUCAUUUAAAAGUUUUUUUAAGAACCGUUGAGCCAGAAGAGCUGAAAUUUACACAAAAGCUUCCUGACAUAGUGCAGAUUCAAGUUUGUUAAAAUCAUGACCCCGUGGGUAGGAUGGGGCUGCAAUAGGGGAUCAAAGUUUUACAUACAAAUAUAUAAAGAAAAUAUUCAAAAGUCUUCAUUUCAAGAACCACUGGGCCAGAAAAGUUUACAUUUACAUGAAAUCUUCCUGACAUAGUGCAGAUUCAAGUUUGUAAAAAGCAUGGCCCCUGGUGGUAGGUUUGGGCCACAAUAGGGGGUCAAGCUUUUACAUACAAAUAUAAAGAGAAAAUCUUUAAAUAUAGGCCAAGGUGACUCAGGUGAGCGAUGUGGCCCAUGUGCAGCUUCUUGUACACAUACAAUAUAUCUUCAUCCAUGUUUCAAGAGUGUCUGCCAUGUCUUUUCAAUUGGAUUUAAGAGAUUACUAAAACUUUUUUGUUGUUGACAUUUCCAGGCAUGAUAGAAAAUACCUUCAUGCGUUUCUUAGAUAUCAUUUCUGAAAAUGAAUCUUGAAAACAGACUAUUUGGGUGACCAACAAAAAUGGAUAAGAUAUGCUGAUAGAGCGAUAUAAAACUGUCCCUGUGUCUUUUAAAUUUGUUUCAAAUGAUAGAUUGCUAUGUGACCGAAGCUCGAACACAUGAUGGUAAGUACACAUCUUAUACUAUUUUCAUGAAGUGUAAGUGAUGGGCACAACAGAUACCUCAGAGAGAGAGAGAGGGGGGGGGGGGGGGCAAUAAAAUGUGUAAAGUGAGGACAAAUUUCAACCAAUGGACAGAAGUUGCGUGGACAAUUGCACUACGAGGACAAAAAAAAAAUGUCAUCAAAAUUACGUCCUCAUAAAUGUGACCUACAGCAUGUGAAAGAUGUAGAUACAAAAUGUUAGCUUAGUGAGGACAAGUGGUGUGAGGACAUGUCCUUACUAAUAUUCUCUCUCAAAAACCUUGACAUUGAAAAUUUCUUGGAUGUACAUGUAGCUGGAAUUUUCUCUCUCCUAAUCUUUAAUAGAUAAUUACAAUGUAUCAUUGAGUUGUCCAAUUUGCAAAGAUAAACAAACACUUUAUGACGCUUGGAAGGGUAGAGUUUAGUUACUUUAAAAGUCCUUGACUUGGACUCAAGACAUAUCAACAAGUCAAUGGCAGACUCAUCUUUAAAGUUAGAUUAAUACAAGCAAGUCCUUAUUAUCCCAGAGAGAAGAAUCCCACUGCAUACUUUAAGUAAUAUGCUACAAGACUCUAAUAUUCAUUUUUCACACCUUCAGUCAAAAAUUAUUGACAGAUUUAUUCAUUCAUUUUCAAUAUGUUCAUAAAUUAUAUACAUGCUUCAACACAGCAAGUAAUAUGAAAAUAGAAAGUAUGACACAGUAAUCCAUUGGUAUUCCAAGUUAUAGAAAAGAUUAAAAGAGUAGGAAACAACCUGAAGGGGUCAAACUCACAACCACUCGGGCCAAAAAUAAAAAUUUUUGAUGAGGCAGGCAGGUAUUAUUAUUUUUUUUACUUGGCUGUAGUAUGAGUUAUCUUUCUUUUUUAUGUUGACUGUAGAAUGAGUUACCUUUUCUUUCUCAUGUACAUGUUUAUACAGAAUAAGCAAUGGAUAGCUUCACUUCAUUACUAUUAAAUUUACACAUUUUUCUUAAACACUUGCAUAUAAAUGAGUAUGCAAUUAUUUGAUAAAAAAUACCUAUCAUUUU